AAAAUAUCCGUUGGCGACAGUGGGAGCAUAGAGGAGUGUGAACUUAGGCCAAGUGAAAGGAAAUGUAUUUAAAGUGGUUAAUAGUUCAAUGACAUAUGUAAACAAACAUAAGGGUUAGUAAAUAAAUAUUAAUUUUUAUUUGUUUAUAUAAAAAACAAUGUUGUGCUUGGUGAAGAACUGUUUAUUAAAGUGUGUAGCUUUAAUUAAUGAAUUAAAAUAAAUAAAAUGUUAUUAAAAGUAGUAAUUGUGAUUUAAAAAUUUCUGAUCUGUAGCGUGCAGUGUUAAACGUGAAAUAUUAAUUAAAAGUUGAAUAAAAUUAAGUGAUUUCAAUUAAAGAGCAUAUACAAUCACAGACUUUAGGUUAAAUGUACAUAAGUCUGAGGAAAAGUUCAAUUGGUGCACUUGCUAGUACUCUAGCUAAGUAUACUAUUUACGGAUACUACUGGUUAUAAGAUGUUAUAAGGUAGCUAGGACGAAUUCUGGGACAAAUUCACAACAAAUUCACAAUCAUAUUCAUAUAUGAUAAAAUAUUUAAUUAUUAAUUAACUUUUGUUUAAGAAAUUUAUUAAUCAUAAAUGUUAUAAUUGUAAUAAAUAAUAAAUAAAUAAAUAUACAAGUAAAGAGAGUCAACUCUUGCUCAGUUAUUUUAUAAUUCAUCUCUCAAGUUCAUUUAAAUUUAAUAUUAUAGUUAUUAUUAUUAUUUGAUGGUAUCAUCGUAUCGUCAUUAUGACGCUUGUCCGUCUAUCCGUAAUUUGUCACUAAGAUGAAAUUGAAGUUUUUGGUGGACUCUGGCUGAGGAUACUAUUUUUACAAAGACUGCUGGUUAUAAAGUAUUUACUAGUUAUGGUGAUUAUUAUCUGGGCAAAUCUGCUCGAGGCUGAUUGGAUGUUAAAUUGGAGCAUUACGUUGGAUCCCGGCUGAGGACCUUCUCUUCAUUGCGAGUACUGGCCAUUAAUUUAUGGAUGUACAGGCUACAUAAAAAAUUUCCCAAUGAAAUUUUCACGGAUUUAAUGAAGAAUUUAAUUGGAAUACGCCAAAAGACUCUGGCUCAAUCUCUUAAAAUAAAUCAAUGAAAAGCAGUCCAAUCAGUGAAUAUUCACUGCAUGAAUAGUCCCAAGUAUAUCACUGAUUAAAUCAGUGAUAUACUUGGGACUGAUUCGCAGUGAAUAUUCACUGAUUUGCAGAACUUUUUACAAAUUAUGUGAAUUCAUAUUUAAAAAAAAAAUAUUAAUUGGUUUGUAACUAUCGUAACAAUGAGGACUUAGUCUCUUGUGAAUAAGAAAAAAAGUACAUCAAAAAUAAAUAUUUUUGUUCUUGUAUUUUUAACUUCCUUAAUAAAAGCUUGAGAUAAAUUACCAUCUCUAUUCUGCAUAAUUAUUGUAUUUUUAACUCUUUCUUAUUCAUUUGUUAUUUCCAUGCACUAUCGUCUAUUGUUCUUGUUGAAAUUAUUUAUUAUUGAGAUAUCUAUCGUGAUACUCUUGUGUUUAUCCGAGACUUGUCACUUACUCAUUGUCAAGAAUUUUAUUAUUUGUUUCAUUAAUAUAUUUUAAAAAAAGUUUUUGAUUUUUACAUCUUUUAAAUCAGUUCAUUGAGUGACUGUAAUGGGUGAUAUUUAUGCGAAUAAAUCAGUGAUCACAAGGGGACGAAUCGUCGGCUUACUUCAGGCUAAUGUUCAUGCAAAUGUUGUUGCCGAAUUAUGCAAUUGCAAUUUUAAGACAGUUUAUUUAUGGAAAAAAAAAUUUCGAGAACAUGGUGAAGCUGGAUUGCUAGACCACCGUAAAUUGAAUCAUCGUCCUCGACUUACUACAGUUGAUGAAGAUUUAUUAUUGCUGGAAACGUAAUUACACAACCCGUUUUCAUCAUACGAGCAAAUCAUUCAUUUAUGCGGCUCCAAUCUUUCGCCAAUAUCAGUCGAUCUUCGCUUUAAAAAGUAUGGUAAUAUGUCAGCUCGUCCUACUAAAAAGCCAGAGCUCACAGACGCCCAUCGCAUUAAUCGCGUGCAGUAUGCUAGAAAUUAUCGAAAUUGGAUGCCUGAACAAUGGGAAGAUGUCAUUUUCACAGAUGAGAAGUCUUUUUCAACGAGUGCAGAUAACAGAUUGCGCGUUUGGCGACCACGAAACGAGAGGUUCAAUCCUGCUUAUGUGCUCCCGGAUUAUUGGUCUGGUCGAGUUACGUCCAACCAUUGGGGUUGCAUGUCUGGACGAGGAUUAAUAGCUUUGCAACCUUUGUCGGGAAAUUUCAAUGGUGAAGAAUAUGUUGAAUUACUGAAUGAGUGUAUGGAACCAGCCGUCCGUGAUAUUUAUCCGGAGGAAGACCAUCCUUUCAUAUAUUUCCUGCAAGAUAAUAGCCCGAUCCAUACCUCACGCCUUGCUCAGGAUUGGUUUAUGGCCAAUCCUGACUUCAUCCUCAUACCACAUCCUUCUAAGUCACCAGAUCUUAACCCAAUCGAGAAUGUGUGGGGUAAAACUUUAUCUUCACAUUUAAAAUAAAUAAUCUAUUGACAUAAUUCUCAUUUUUUGUUUCUUUUUGAACUUGUAAGAUAUAUAAAUUUUUUUUGUUUACACUUCUUAAAGCUAUGAUGACAAGGAAUUGGCAACCUGUGGAACCAAUCAGGACUAAGGCGAUGCUGAAUGAAUUUGUUCGUGGGGUCUGGGAUAACGUAAGCUACAAAAUUCCUGACUUAUUAAAGACAGUGAGAUCCAUGCCUAGACGUUUGGAGGAAGUUAUUGCGAAUGAUGGUUAUUCGACAAAAU